CUGUAAGUCACUGAUGUAACUUCAGUGUGUGUUGGAUUAGCUUCUACUGUUAACAUUCCUUUUUAUUUCCAGUUGCUGGAAUUAUUACAGCUGAUUUUGCCUCAGGCUUGGUUCACUGGGGAGCUGAUACCUGGGGUUCCGUUGAUAUCCCUGUCAUUGGCAAGGCUUGUAUCAGGCAAGUCUAGUGUAUUGAUCCUACAGCUAUAAUAAGGCAUGACUUUGUUGAGACCAAUGAAGAUAACUCUUCAAUAACCAUAAUUCCACUGGCCUGCACGUUACAUCAAUUCCCUUCUCAAGCAUCAGGUAAGCUUGAGAAUUUCCUUGCGAUCUCUUUAUUAAAUCUUUU
rnacentral:lncRNA from 1 species